rnacentral:rRNA from 1 species
GCGUGCUUAACACAUGCAAGUCGAGACGAUGAAGUUUUUUCUUUCGGGGAAACGGAUUAGCGGCGGACGGGUGAAGUAACACGUGGGGUAAACCUGCCUCAUAGAGUGGAAUAGCCUUCCGAAAGGAAGAUUAAUACCGCAUAAUGUUGAAAGAUGGCAUCAUCAUUCAACCAAAGGAGCAAUCCGCUAUGAGAUGGACCCGCGGCGCAUUAGCUAGUUGGGUGGGGUAACAGCCUACCAAGGCGACGAUGCGUAGCCGACCUGAGAGGGUGAUCGGCCACAUUGGGACUGAGACACGGCCCAGACUCCUACGGGAGGCAGCAGUGGGGAAUUAUUGCACAAUGGGGGAAACCCCUGAUGCAGCAACGCCGCGUGAGUGAUGAAGGUUUUCGGAUCGUAAAGCUCUGUCUUUGGGGAAGAUAAUGACGGUACCCAAGGAGGAAGCCACGGCUAACUACGUGCCAGCAGCCGCGGUAA